rnacentral:rRNA from 1 species
ACGGGCCAAACUCCUACGGGAGGCAGCAAUGGGGAAUAUUGCACAAUGGGCGCAAGCCUGAUACAACCAUUCCGCCUGUAUGAAGAAGGCCUUAGGGUUGUAAAGUUCUUUCAGUCGGGAGGAAGACGGUGAGGCUAAUAUCCUCGUCGGUUGACGUUGCCGACAGAAGAAGCACCGGCUAACUCCGUCCCACCAACCGCGGUAAUACGGAGGGGGCAAGCGUUAAUCGGAAUUACUGGGCGUAAAACGCACGCAGGCGGUUGAUUAAGUUAGAUGUGAAAUCCCCGGGCAUAACCUGGGAAUCGCAUCCAAUACUGGUCAGCUAGAGUCUUGUAGAGGGGGGUAGAAUUCCAUGUGUAGCGGUGAAAUGCGUAGAAAUUUGGAGGAAUACCGGUGGCGAAGGCGGCCCCCUGGACAAAGACUAACGCUCAGGUGCGAAAGCGUGGGGAGCAAACAGGAUUAGAUGACCUGGUAGUCCACGCGUAAACGAUGUCGAUUUGUAGGUUGUUCCCUUGAGGCAGUGGAGUGUCGG